AUACUUACCUGGCAGGGGAGACACCAUGAUCAAGCAGGAGGUUUUCCCAGGGCGAGGCUCAUCCCCUGCACUCCGGGUGUGCUGACCCCUGCGAUUUCCCCCAAAUGCACAGGAUCAUAGAGACAAGUCCUUCCUGAAGCAGGGAUACUUAUUUUAUACUAA